UUAUGUAGUUGUCCUUAAAGAGCACAAAUUGGAAGCUUCAGGGUACUGCUGCUAAUAUCAUAAUUCUGGGGACAAGUUGCUACAAAGUGCAUGGUUAGGGGCAUUUGUGCAAAACACCCUAAAUUAGUUGCACAUGUUCACAUGCUUCAUAUAUGACGAUGUGUUAUGCAUUUAUACAUGCAUGCGCGUGCGCAUACACACACAUAUAUAAUGCCUCUCUUUCUCGUUGCAUUUACUUGAUUGCAUUCAAUUUGAUAAAAUUAUUAGUUCAUUUUGUACCCCUUUUUAAGUUUUUUUAAUUUUUCGUUUGAAAUACCUCUGUUGCUCUUAUCCAACCUCAUUCUUUUCUUUCUGUGCUGGUUCUAGUUUCUAGAUAUUCUGAUGGUGAUUAAUAAUGGCUGUUUAACAAACAUGGCUUGAAAAUUAAAAGAGUUUCUUUAAUUGAUUUUGAGUUUGAGCUGAUGACUUUGGACGUUGAUUUAAGUUGCUUCAAUUGAUUUUUUUUUUUUUUUUUUUUUUGGUCACACCGUGCUCUAAUAUGUAGUCCAUUUGAGAAAAUUGAAGGAAAACUGGCUUGGACUGGUGAGGAAGUAUUUGAGGGAAAACAUCACAUGAUUGCUAAUGGAUGUGUAUUUACACCCUCUUAGUGGCAGAUGAAUAGCGAAAACUUGGCAUGUGUCAUGGGAAAAAACUCUUGUCUAGGUUUAUAAUAUCUAAUAGACAUUACCAAAUUGGAACUUCUCUGAGGUAUGUUAAAUCUUGUGAUUUUGACAUAAUUUUAAUGCUUAGGCUUCUUCUACAUGUUUUAUGCUUUGAGCACAUCUUACUUUGAGUUAUGCAUUAUAAGUCGUGUUUUAUAUAUUGUCUCAUCUGGAACACUGGUCGGAAUUCAUCUGGGACGAUGCGGGUGUGUAAAUUUUUUCUACACGCAUUCUAAAGGACAAAUUCCGACUUUAGUUCCUGAUGAGAGAAAAAUCAAUAUAUAUGUAUGUUUGUAUAUAUAGUUGAUAUAUGGUAAGGACUCCAUGAGCUCCCCCCCCCCC